rnacentral:lncRNA from 1 species
AUACUUACUUUGUAUGCGUUUGUGAAAAUAUGGUGUUAUAGAUUAAACUACAGCAUUACAAUACUUCUUACACAUCUGUAAUAAUAAUAUAAUGUUUACAGGAGCCACUCUUAAUGAGUAAUUCAUACUGAUAUUUUAAAUACUCCCCCCCCACAGCUGCCCAGUGCUGUCUAACCAGCAGACUCUGAGCGUGCUGAAGAACGGCGAGGGCGCAGAGGCCACGUUCAGGAUACAAAUGUUCAAGUUUGUUGGCAGCUCGUACAGCAACGUCUUCCUCCACUGCAACGUCCAGAUCUGCCACAACAGCCCGGGGCUGUGCCAGCCUAACUGUUCCGCUGACGGUGAAGAUGAAUAUCUCAGGACACGGAGAGACAUCCCGCUGUCUCAUACGGUGUCUUAUGGACCAAUCAGACGACUUCUAAACGACAGUGAAGAACCCAAUCUGAAUGCGGGCGUCCUCCCUGCUGUGGAGACAUUUGUCCUCGGGGGGCUGCUGCUGGGGCUGCUGCUGGUCUCGGGGGUGUUCGGGAGGCUGUGGCUGCGCUCCAGACAUUUCUACCCGGCGAGGGAGGCGCAGCUCAUCUUGUCCAACGUCCACCACAUGUCAGAGGUGGCCUCAUGAAGCAGGGGACCUUCUGGAGAAGAGAAAGGCUGCUGAUUAUCAUCAUCAUGUAUUAAUCUGCAGAAUCUUCUGUAGAUGCAUCGUUCAAAUGUCCUUCCCAGGUUGUCAAAGUCCAAGCUGAUGUGUUUCAAUGUCUUGUUCUGUCACUUUGAUAUAAAAUGGAGAAGAGCAGCAAAUCUCGACAUGUGAGGCUGAAAACAUCGAAAGUGUUUCUGCAGCUCCGACAGGUACAGGUGUGAUUCAUAAACAGGAUCAGAGCAUGUUUCUCUUGGAAGUGUAAGAAAUCAUCUUAAUAAAAAGGUUUCCCUCAAAGUGUCGUCUCGUGUACUUUUAACUAAGUAAGUUUACUUAAGUGCAAGUUUUAGGCCUACUUGUAUUUUACUUCAGCGU